GUCUGGAUGGUCUAGUUGGUUAUGACAUCGGUCUCAUAGACUCUACUAUGAUCUUGCGCGUUAAACGUAAGAAGUUAUCCGAGGGCCGCGAGUUCGAAUCUCGCUCUGGACA
rnacentral:tRNA from 1 species